AAUAAGUUUAUUUAUGUGUUUUUUUCCAAUGUUUAACUGUCUGUCUUAUUCGAUUAUUUUUGUAAUUAGUAUUUUUGUUGUUAUUAGAUGAUAAAACAGAAAUAGUACUUUAUGCAUGAUUUAUUUUUUAAUUUUUUUAUAAUUUUUCAAAUAAGACAAACGAUCGAUCGUUGGACAAAAAAAACCCAUAAAUGAAUUUAUU
rfam:Oryza sativa Japonica Group DNA, chromosome 11, cultivar: Nipponbare, complete sequence.